AUUGAACGCUGGCGGCAGGCUUAACACAUGCAGGUCGAGCGGGGGAAGGUAGCUUGCUACCGGACCUAGCGGCGGACGGGUGAGUAAUGCUUAGGAAUCUGCCUAUUAGUGGGGGACAACAUCUCGAAAGGGAUGCUAAUACCGCAUACGUCCUACGGGAGAAAGCAGGGGAUCUUCGGACCUUGCGCUAAUAGAUGAGCCUAAGUCGGAUUAGCUAGUUGGUGGGGUAAAGGCCUACCAAGGCGACGAUCUGUAGCGGGUCUGAGAGGAUGAUCCGCCACACUGGGACUGAGACACGGCCCAGACUCCUACGGGAGGCAGCAGUGGGGAAUAUUGGACAAUGGGGGGAACCCUGAUCCAGCCAUGCCGCGUGUGUGAAGAAGGCCUUAUGGUUGUAAAGCACUUUAAGCGAGGAGGAGGCUACUUUAGUUAAUACCUAGAGAUAGUGGACGUUACUCGCAGAAUAAGCACCGGCUAACUCUGU
rnacentral:rRNA from 1 species